GAGCAACUGAUUUGUAAUCAGUAGGUCGUUGGUUCGACUCCGACAAUCGGCACCA
rnacentral:tRNA from 1 species